GGGGAGGCUGGAAGAUGAAAUAUUCUUCCACCUGCUUCAUACAGGGCCCUUCAGCCACCGUGGACACAGCUGAGAUUGGAGAUCAGAGUAAGCUAGAUGGGGAUUUCCUUCAUGAUCUUCUGGUGAGACUCAUGUCUGACACCUACAGGAAGGCCUUUGAUUGUUUCAGGUGCACUAUGGAAACAACAAAUGUCAAGCAAAAGAUGAAAGAGGAGUCAAGGCAUUUUCAUUCUGUAAGAGAAGGAACCUGCUGCUGACAGGUGGAAUGGGCCGAAUCAUUCGAGUCUGGAAUCCUUAUCUGCCAGGAAAACCAACAGGUAUGCUGAAAAGCCACAUGGCUCCAGUGGUCUACAUCCAUGUAUCCGCUGAGGAUAACAAAAUAUUUUCCAUGUCUACCGACAACACUAUUAAGGCCCAGACCAGAGUGUUUCCUGCCUUGCCUUCCUGAAGACACGGGCUGCCAAGUUUGAAUCACCUGCUGCUUCCCUAAUCACCAAUGGGCCCGAAGGUUCUGUCACUUUCUGGAGGCUGUUCAGUGGAGCCUGUCCCAUUGCAAACUUCAUUCCUCUUUACUUUCUAUAUAGCCUUCCUAUCUUGCUGAAAGAUUAACACCAGCACAGUGAUUACUUCUAACUAUAAAUGAGAUACAACAUUCCACUUGCCAUUGUCUGACAGUCCAAGGACAAAGCGCAGGUCAGUAGCAUCGCAGUGACAGCAGAUGUCCUUGUCUAUGUGGCUGACCAGAAAGGCUUUGUGCACGUCUACGACAUCAAAGAGUAUGGCCUGCAGGGACCCGAGCUGCAAUUCCCCAAAAAUGUGAUGGUCUGGCGGGCCCAUGUCAGUGUGAUGAGAUCGAACCUUUGGGCAGCAUAGCCCCAGGGAUAUUUUCACUCCUGCCUCCUGGAGCCACCCUAGAGUGCCCUAUGAAAUUUUGACAGAUCCCCGGAGCAUGCCUGCUCUCCCAGUGCUGGAACAGGAUGUGGCUGCUAUGCACACAGAAGAGGAAGGGCAAGACAACGUGGUGGUGGAAGAGUUUAAGCCUGAAAAGACUCCUAACUCUUGCUCUCUAGAAGAACCCAUCCUUGAAGCUGAAAUAAAAGAAGACAUAAAUCGA